UACAGAGGGGGCUAGCGUUGUUCGGAAUUACUGGGCGUAAAGGGCGCGUAGGUGGCCUGUUAAGUCGAACGUGAAAUCCCCGGGCUCAACCCGGGAACUGCGUCCGAGACUGGCAGGCUCGAAUCCGGGAGAGGGAUGUGGAAUUCCAGGUGUAGCGGUGAGAUGCGUAGAUAUCUGGAGGAACACCGGUGGCGAAGGCGGCAUCCUGGACCGGUAUUGACGCUGAGGCGCGAAAGCCAGGGGAGCAAACGGG
rnacentral:rRNA from 1 species